ACGAACGCUGGCGGCGCGCUUAACACAUGCAAGUCGAACGAGAUCCAUCCAGUAGCAAUACUGGUGAAGAUCUAGUGGCGAACGGGUGAGUAACACGUGAGAAACCUGCCUCAAAGACCGGGAUAACCCACCGAAAGGUGUGCUAAUACCGGAUACCUUCACGACAUCGAAUGGUGAUGUGAAGAAAGGAUUCCGCUUUGAGAGGGUCUCGCGGCCUAUCAGCUUGUUGGUGAGGUAACGGCUCACCAAGGCGACGACGGGUAGCUGUUCUGAGAGGAAGAUCAGCCACACUGGAACUGAGACACGGUCCAGACUCCUACGGGAGGCAGCAGUGGGGAAUCUUGCGCAAUGGGCGAAAGCCUGACGCAGCGACGCCGCGUGCGGGAAGACGGCCUUCGGGUUGUAAACCGCUUUCAGCAGGGACGAAAUUGACGGUACCUGCAGAAGAAGCUCCGGCCAACUACGU
rnacentral:rRNA from 1 species